CCUACGGGUGGCAGCAGUAGGGAAUAUUGCUCAAUGGGGGAAACCCUGAAGCAGCAACGCCGCGUGGAGGAUGAAGGUUUUCGGAUUGUAAACCUCUGUCAGCAGGGAAGAACGGUCACUGUGCUAAUCAGCAGUGAAUUGACGGUACCUGCAAAGGAAGCACCGGCUAACUCCGUGCCAGCAGCCGCGGUAAUACGGAGGGUGCGAGCGUUAAUCGGAAUUACUGGGCGUAAAGCGCUCGUAGGCGGUAUGUCAAGUCAAGGGUGAAAUCCCCGCGCUCAACGUGGGAACUGCCUUUGAAACUGGCAAACUGGAGUGUUGGAGAGGAUAGUGGAAUUCCAGGUGUAGGAGUGAAAUCCGUAGAUAUCUGGAGGAACAUCAGUGGCGAAGGCGACUAUCUGGCACAUAACUGACGCUGAGGAGCGAAAGCGUGGGUAGCAAACAGGAUUAGAUACCCUGGUAGUC
rnacentral:rRNA from 1 species